CUGCAUACGUUGUAAGCCCAAACGCAGGGGUAAUGCUAACAAUCAGGUGGUGUAUGGGAGAAAUCCGCUAUGGUCUUGGCCCAAACAGGAUUUUCAACGAGCAGCAACAGAAGACACACAUGCAUGAGAGAAAAGAGAAUUCCACCAAACGCACACGGAGCAAAAGCCUGAGCCACCGUCGCGUUCUCCGUCAUAUCACUGAUCGCACCGUCAUCGUGGCUCUAGGAGGAAGAAGAUGAAUCCGAGUUGUGUCGUGGUAAUCGCCACGGGUGAUGACUCGGUCCAAGCGAAGAGAAAAACAAUUACGAUCAACGCGAGCUCUCAUCUAUAAAUCGCGACAGCUCAAUAACAUUCAACAGAUGAUUCGUUCUUUAAUCAAUUACCGGAUUCAAAUUCGAAUCGAUCCAUUAUCGGCAAAGCUCGUACCAUCAAAUUCGACUCAAUUCGUCUCCGUAUGAACAAACAGUAACAGGUGAUAUCUGAAUCAAAUUAGGGACUUACCGAGUGAAGCGAUGAUUGGAUCUUCAGUCAACUCUUCUUCUUCUUCCUUUCUUGGAGUGAUUCCGGUGAGAUGUUGAUUGUUGAUGGUGAAGGUAUCGUGAAUCUGUUACGGUGGUUGAAGAUUCCGUGAGGAUGAUUGAAGGUUGGUACAGUGAAUGUGGUUGAAGAAUCGAGGUGGAAGAGGAGGUUGAAGUGGUGGCUUAGCUCUGCCGUGUGGAGCUUCGAAUGAUGAAGCUCCCACAACAAUGGAGGAUGAGCGUGUACUGAAGGUGAGGAUUGAGUGCAGAAGCUUUUUGGAAUCAGGGAAAAAUCUUCCGAACCCAAUGAUUGGCAAUGAUUGCAGCUUAUAUAGCACGAUCCAAGGACAAAUUGGAGAUUUGUGUAGCUCAAUCUCUUUCGUCCAGCUGGCACUUAAAUGAAGGAUGAAUGUUGCAUCUUUGUUUUCAAUUGCUAGGUCUGGUGUAUGCAAUGCAGAUUCACAUCAUUGUGGAGAAAUUGGAUGGAUGUGAGGUCUUGGCUGCAGGUUGAUGUCCAUGCCUUGGUUUGUAGACCGGUUUGCUGAAUGUUUGGAUAACUUGCCCUGUUUCUGCAGGUUUUCUUGGCUUUGGCUCUGCAACAGGGUAGCUCUGAAGUUGCAGUGGGAUGCUUGGUUGAUAUGACUUAGCUCGAGUCGAAUGUUCCAACUCUAGUCAUUAUGCAUUUAUCUGAUAGAGUCUGAUGAAAGUGAAUCACGUGUGAGUAGGGCGAAUGACGCACAUGUUCUUUUAUUCUUCAAUUCGCUUGUUGCAACCUUGCUACAACUUCACUCUUAGCUGCCAAUUGAAAGUCUUUACAGGUUAUGCUUAAGAUAAUAAAACACGCGUAACUCAUCGAAGCGACAAACCCUUCCGGAUGACGACACUUCAUGACAGCUUAGAUGUGUAUCGCCCAAGGAAUGCUUAAUGUUGUUUGACCUUACUUAGGAGCGCGCGACACACCUUCUUCCGGCCUCGUGUUUGAACCAACGGGAAGCAAUUAGGAUUUAGGUAAGAUACGCCUUUGUGACUCGGGCCUUCCUUAACCAAGUGGAUUGUUGGCGCUGUAUCCUGAGUUAAACCCGUUAUCAUACGAUCACAGCCGCUGCAUCACGCCUUGGAAGAACAAUAGGUUUUGAUAUCACGUCCAUAAUCCAUAUGCCCUGCUGGUUUGUAUCAGUGCUUUUGAUAACCCAAGAAUUUCCUGCUGGUUUGUAUCAGUGCUUUUGAUAACCCAAGAAUUUCCUGCUGCUAAGAGUGCCCUGUUGGAUUCAAAGGAUAAUUUCCACCAGGAAUGCUGGUAGAACUUCCAAAACCACAUCCCGACGGAAUAGCAGCAGACUGA